rnacentral:rRNA from 1 species
GAUGAACGCUGACAGAAUGCUUAACACAUGCAAGUCAACUUGAAUUUGGGUUUUUAACUUAGGUUUGGGUGGCGGACGGGUGAGUAACGCGUAAAGAACUUGCCUCACAGCUAGGGACAACAUUUGGAAACGAAUGCUAAUACCUAAUAUUAUGAUAAUAGGGCAUCCUAUAAUUAUGAAAGCUAUAAGCGCUGUGAGAGAGCUUUGCGUCCCAUUAGCUAGUUGGAGAGGUAACGGCUCACCAAGGCGAUGAUGGGUAGCCGGCCUGAGAGGGUGAUCGGCCACAAGGGGACUGAGACACGGCCCUUACUCCUACGGGAGGCAGCAGUGGGGAAUAUUGGACAAUGGACCAAGAGUCUGAUCCAGCAAUUCUGUGUGCACGAUGAAGUUUUUCGGAAUGUAAAGUGCUUUCAGUUGGGAAGAAAGAAAUGACGGUACCAACAGAAGAAGUGACGGCUAAAUACGUGCCAGCAGCCGCGGUAAUACGUAUGUCACGAGCGUUAUCCGGAUUUAUUGGGCGUAAAGCGCGUCUAGGUGGUUAUGUAAGUCUGAUGUGAAAAUGCAGGGCUCAACUCUGUAUUGCGUUGGAAACUGUAUAACUAGAGUACUGGAGAGGUAAGCGGGAACUACAAGUGUAGAGGUGAAAUUCGUUAUAUAUUUUGUAGGAAUGCCGAUGGGGAAAGCCAGCUUACUGGACAUAUACUGACGCUGAAGCGCGAAAGCGUGGGUAGCAAACAUG